CACUCCCUAGUUGAUGAUAUUUUAGACAUAGGGUCUCUGCUCCCUAGUCGGUUUUCAUACAUAGUGUCUCCACUCCCUAGUUGAUGAUAUAUUAGACAUAGGGUCACCACUCCCUAGUCCUUUUUCCAAGAUAUGGUCUCUACUCCCUAGUCUCUUUUCCAACAUAGUGUCUUCACUCCCUAGUUGAUUUUAGUUUUAGAUAUAGGGUCUCCACUCCCUAGUCACUUUUCCAACAUAGGGUCUCCACUCCCUAGUUGAUGAUUUUUUAGACAUAGGGUCUCCACUCUGUAGUCCCUUUUCCAAAAUAGGGUCUCCACUCCCUAGUUGAUUUUACUUUAGACAUAGGGACUCCUCUCCCUAUUCGCAUUUUCAACAUAUGGUCUCCACUCCCUAGUUGAUUUUUUUUUAGACAUAGGGUCUCCACUCGCUAGUUGAUUUACCAACAUAGAGUUUCCCUUAGUAAAUUUUAUUUUAGACAUAGGGUCUCCACUCCCUCGUCGCUUUUCCAACAUAGGGUCUCCACUCCCUAGUUGAUUUUAUUUUAGACAUAGGGUCUCCACUCCCUAGUCGCUUUUCCAACAUAGGGUCUCCACUCCUUAGUUGAUGAUAUUUUUGAAAUAGCGUCGCCACUCCCUAGUCUUUUUUCCAACAUAGGGUCUCCACUCCCUAGUUGAUCAUAUUUUAGACAAAGGGUCGCCACUCCCUAGUCUUUUUUCCAACAUAGGGUCUCCACUCCCUAGUUGAUUAUAUUUUAGACAUAAGGUCUCCAAUCCAUAGUGUCUUUUCAAACAAAGGGUCUCCACUCCCUAGUUGAUGAUAUUUUAGACAUAAGGUCUCUACUCCCUAGUCGGUUUUCCAACAUAGUAUCUCCACUCCCUAGUUGAUGAUAUAUUAGACAUAGGGUCGCCUCUCCCUAGUCUUUUUUCCAACAUAGGGUCUCCACUCCCUAGUUGAUGAUAUUUUAGAC
rnacentral:lncRNA from 1 species